AUUGAACGCUGGCGGCAUGCUUUACACAUGCAAGUCGAACGGUAACAGGCCUUCGGGUGCUGACGAGUGGCGAACGGGCGAGUAAUGCAUCGGAACGUACCCAGAGGUGGGGGAUAACGCAGCGAAAGCUGUGCUAAUACCGCAUGUGAUCUGAGGAUGAAAGCGGGGGACCGAGCAGGAAUGUUUGGCCUCGCGCCUUUGGAGCGGCCGAUGUCGGAUUAGCUAGUUGGGGGGGUAAAGGCCUACCAAGGCGACGAUCCGUAGCUGGUCUGGGAGGACGACCAGCCACCCUGGGACUGGGACACGGCCCAGACUCCUACGGGAGGCAGCAGUGGGGAAUUUUGGACAAUGGGCGCAAGCCUGAUCCAGCAAUGCCGCGUGCGGGAAGAAGGCCUUCGGGUUGUAAACCGCUUUUGGCAGGAACGAAACGGUGUCCGCUAAUACCGGGCGCUAAUGACGGUACCUGCAGAAUAAGCACCGGCUAACUACGUG
rnacentral:rRNA from 1 species